rnacentral:rRNA from 1 species
UAACCUGCCCAAGAGAUCGGGAUAACACCUGGAAACAGAUGCUAAUACCGGAUAACAACAGAUGAUGCCUAUCAACUGUUUAAAAGAUGGUUCUGCUAUCACUCUUGGAUGGACCUGCGGUGCAUUAGCUAGUUGGUAGGGUAACGGCCUACCAAGGCGAUGAUGCAUAGCCGAGUUGAGAGACUGAUCGGCCACAUUGGGACUGAGACACGGCCCAAACUCCUACGGGAAGCAGCAGGG